rnacentral:rRNA from 1 species
AGAGUUUGAUCCUGGCUCAGAACGAACGCUGGCGGCAUGCCUAACACAUGCAAGUCGAACGAGACCUUCGGGUCUAGUGGCGCACGGGUGCGUAACGCGUGGGAAUCUGCCCUUGGGUUCGGAAUAACAGUUAGAAAUGACUGCUAAUACCGGAUGAUGUCUUCGGACCAAAGAUUUAUCGCCCAGGGAUGAGCCCGCGUAGGAUUAGCUAGUUGGUGGGGUAAAGGCCUACCAAGGCGACGAUCCUUAGCUGGUCUGAGAGGAUGAUCAGCCACACUGGGACUGAGACACGGCCCAGACUCCUACGGGAGGCAGCAGUGGGGAAUAUUGGACAAUGGGCGAAAGCCUGAUCCAGCAAUGCCGCGUGAGUGAUGAAGGCCUUAGGGUUGUAAAGCUCUUUUACCCGGGAUGAUAAUGACAGUACCGGGAGAAUAAGCCCCGGCUAACUCCGUG